rnacentral:rRNA from 1 species
AUUGAACGCUGGCGGCAGGCCUAACACAUGCAAGUCGAACGAGUGGCGGACGGGUGAGUAAUGUCUGGGAAACUGCCUGAUGGAGGGGGAUAACUACUGGAAACGGUAGCUAAUACCGCAUACCAUGGGAUGUGCCACGAUGGGAUUAAUUAGUAGGUGGGGUAACGGCUCACCUAGGCGACGAGCCAUAGCUGGUCUGAGAGGUUGACCUGCCACACUGGAACUGCGACACGUUCCAGACUCCUACGGGAGGCAGCAGUGGGGAAUAUUGCACAAGGGGCGAAAUCCUGAUGCAGCCAUGCCGCGUGUGUGAAGAAGGCCGUCGGGUUGUAAAGCACUUUCAGCGGGGAGGCGUUACCCGAAGAAGAAGCCCCGGCUAACUCCGUGCCAGCAGCCGCGGUAAUAC